rnacentral:tRNA from 1 species
UGGCUUAGACGGUAAAGCAUCUGCCCGCAAUGCAGGAGACCCAGGUUCGAUCCCUGG